AAAACCAACAGUUACCCCUUGUCUUAAACUCCUCCCAUUCUUUUAACCUACACCAGACACCCACUUCUCCUAAUGGGGUGGCUGCAAUCGCUCUUCUCCCCAUUGAAGAAGAUGUGGUUUCGCAUGCAUUCAGCUCAGAGAAAGAGAAGAGGGAUAUACAUUUUGUACGAGGAUGUCAAAUCCUGCCCCUAUGAAGAUGUGCAUGUACUGUGGUCAAUCCUAGUGGAGUCACAUAGACCUUUGCCAUCAAAAACUGAGGGCUCUUAUGCACGGAGUUGAAUGUGAGAAAGUUUCAGUUAUUUACAAUUUUCUUUUCUGUCCAGUUCCGGUGUACAGAGAAAUAUUUAUGACGUUUUUACUUACAUAAAAAGUUUUCUUUUCUUCUU